rnacentral:rRNA from 1 species
AUCGAACGCUGGCGGCAGGCCUAACACAUGCAAGUAGAGCGAGCGGCGGACGGGUGAGUAACGUAUGGGGACUGCCCGAUAGAGGGGGAUAACUACUGGAGACGGAGGCUAAUACCGCAUACUAUUGGAUAACCCAUAUGGGAUUAGCUAGUAGGUAAGGUAAUGUCUUACCUAGGCGACGAUCCCUAGCUGGUCUGAGUGGAUGAUCAGCCACACGGGGCUGAGGCCAGGUCCCAAACUCCUACGGAAGCAGCGGCGAGGAAUAUUGCCCAUGGGGCGCAAUCCUGAUGCAGCCAUGCCGCGUGUAUGAAGAGGGCCCUAGGGUUGUAAGGUACUUUCAGUCGGGAGGCGUUACCGACAGAGGAAGCACCGGCUAACUCCGUGCCAGCAGCCGCGGUAAUUC